rnacentral:rRNA from 1 species
GCGGAGGGUAUGAGGAGCUUGCUCNAGUGCCCUUAGCGGCGNACGGGUGAGUAACGCGUGAACAAUCUGUCCUUCACAGGGGGAUAACGCAUCGAAAGAUGUGCUAAUACCGCAUAAGANCACGGGACCACAUGGUUCAGGGGUCAAAGGAGCAAUCCCGGUGGAGGGUGAGUUCNCGUCCCAUUAGCUAGUUGGCGGGGUAACGGCCCACCAAGGCGACGAUGGGUAGCCGACCCUGAGAGGGUGAUCGGCCACACCUGGAACUGANAAACGGUCCAGACUCCCUACNGGAGGCAGCAGUAGGGAAUAUUGGGCAAUGGGCGAAAGCCUGACCCAGCAACGCCGCGUGAGGGAAGAAGGCCUUCGGGUUGUAAACCUCUGUCCCAUGUGAAGAGAAGAAGACGGUAGCNUGGGAGGAAGCCCCCGGCCUAACUACGUGCCAGCAGCCGCGGUAAUACGUAGGGGGCAAGNGUUGUCCGGAAUGANUGGGCGUAAAGGGCGCCGUAGGCNGCCUUAUAAGUCUGGAGUGAAAGUCCCGCUUUCNAGGUGGGAAUUGCUUUGGAAACUGUGAGGCUUGAGUGUGGGAGAGGAUAGCGGAAUUCCCCNGUGUAGCGGUGAAAUGCGUACAGAUC